rnacentral:rRNA from 1 species
GAUGAACGCUGGCGGCGUGCCUAAUACAUGCAAGUCGAGCGAACGGACGAGAAGCUUGCUUCUCUGAUGUUAGCGGCGGACGGGUGAGUAACACGUGGAUAACCUACCUAUAAGACUGGGAUAACUUCGGGAAACCGGAGCUAAUACCGGAUAAUAUUUUGAACCGCAUGGUUCAAAAGUGAAAGACGGUCUUGCUGUCACCUAUAGAUGGAUCCGCGCUGCAUUAGCUAGUUGGUAAGGUAACGGCUUACCAAGGCAACGAUGCAUAGCCGACCUGAGAGGGUGAUCGGCCACACUGGAACUGAGACACGGUCCAGACUCCUACGGGAGGCAGCAGUAGGGAAUCUUCCGCAAUGGGCGAAAGCCUGACGGAGCAACGCCGCGUGAGUGAUGAAGGUCUUCGGAUCGUAAAACUCUGUUAUUAGGGAAGAACAUAUGUGUAAGUAACUGUGCACAUCUUGACGGUACCUAAUCAGAAAGCCACGGCUAACCACGUG